rnacentral:rRNA from 1 species
GAUGAACGCUGGCGGCGUGCUUAACACAUGCCAGUCGAACGAAGCACUUAAGAUUGAUUCUUCGGAUGACGUCUUUUGUGACUUAGUGGCGGACGGGUGAGUAACGCGUGGGUAACCUGCCUCACACAGGGGGAUAACAGUUAGAAAUGACUGCUAAUACCGCAUAACCCGAUAGGAUCGCAUGAUCCAGACGGAAAAGAUUUAUCGGUGUGAGAUGGACCCGCGUCUGAUUAGCUAGUUGGUGAGGUAACGGCCCACCAAGGCGACGAUCAGUAGCCGGCCUGAGAGGGUGAACGGCCACAUUGGGACUGAGACACGGCCCAAACUCCUACGGGAGGCAGCAGUGGGGAAUAUUGCACAAUGGGGGAAACCCUGAUGCAGCGACGCCGCGUGAGUGAAGAAGUAUUUCGGUAUGUAAAGCUCUAUCAGCAGGGAAGAAAAUGACGGUACCUGACUAAGAAGCCCCGGCUAACUACGUG